ACUACAUAAACUAUUCACACUUUGCGCAUGGGUAUUGGAUGGAUCCCCUUAAAAAGGAAAACAAGCGUUUGCUUACAUACUUAAGUCAUGAUGACCAGUUGACUGGAUUCUUGUCUUAUUAAACGCCUAACGUAUUGGAAACGUUGUAACGUCCUUUCACAAAUGCUGAAAGCCACCGGUGGGCGCCAUUACUCUAAAAGUGAAGGAGAGCAGUUCCUUUCUCUCAAGCCAGCAAACUCUUCGGAGCCUCAUGCAAACAACUCUGACUGCAGUCUGGAGCGUAACUUUCUACUCAAGAAAAAAUAGGGUCACCUACAUCUUGGACGAGG